GAAGGUUAUUUUUCUCCUGCCGUUGCUGUUGAAGAAUGCUAGCAUGCAGAAAUUUUAGAACUUGAUUCAGAGAAUUUGGGCCAAACAGAACAGUUUUAGAAAUAGCCCCUUUUGGGGGCACCUGAGUGGCUCAGUCGGUGAAGUGUCUGCCUUUGGCUCAGGUCGUGAUCCCAGGGUCUUAGGAUUGAGCCCCCGAAUCGGGCCCUCUCCUCUCCCUCUGCCCCUCCUCCAGUUUGUGCUCUUACUUGCUCUCAAAGUCUUAAAGGCCUUGCCCUUCAAGAUCAAAGCCCAGAGGAAUUUGAGAAUGUAGCAAAGCCUCCUUUGCAAGAAGGGCAACUUGUCUGCCCUUUACUGGGAGAUACUACCAUUGAAAGAGUGGCCUGUUGGCCACCUGCAUAGCAUCCAGGUGACCUAGCAUGUAAUGAUUUCCAUAAACCAAAAAGCAAACAAAACCAAACCCCUAGACUGGUUUGGACAAAAGCUGGUGGCUCUGCCCUGGGUUAAGUUUCUCAGCCUCCCAGCUUCCGGAAUUGGGGCAUAAUUGAAGUCAUGGAAACAACCCUCUCAAAACCCACCUCAUCCUGUUUUUCCUCUAGAGAGUCUCUCCCUUUGCCAUUGGCUUAGCAGUGGGUGUGGCUUCUGCAUCUGGACCUGGAUUUGGGCGCUCAGGACUCAGGACACGUGGCCUCAGCACCCUGGUUGACUCACCGGGAAGAUGGUUCGGAACUUGGUUGUCUGAAUUGUUGAUCUUAGCAUGUCGUGCCUGUCAACACCUGUGCUGUGACUUGCUCCUGUCCCACAUGGUCUGUGGCUGUGUGAAUCUUGUUCACUUUGUGGUGCUCCAAAAUCUGGCUUUGUUUCAUUCAUUCAUUCACUCACCUGCUGGCUUGUCCUAGUUUUACAAGGGUGCGCGAGGCCCUGAGCAGAAGCGUUCCUGCUGUCUGAGGCUCAGCCUUGAAUUAAGGCAGCAGUGUAAACAGAAGCAGGUGGAAUAUGAAGUGGAAGGUGAGUGAGGGCUCACCGGAAGCCUGGGCUCUGUGGCUGUCUGCUGGGUAAUGGGGUGGGUCACAUGGCUCUGAGCUGGAGAUUCCUGGGCUUGUGAGUUUGGGCCCAGCCACAGAAGGUGGUUUGAUCAUCAAAUGAUGAUAAACUAGGACGCCUGUGUGGGUCAGCAGGUGGAGCCUCUGCCUUGGGCUCAGGGUGUGACCCUGGGGUCCUGGGAUCGAGUCCCGCAUCGGGCUCCCUGCAUGGAGCCUGCUUCUCCCUCUGCCUGCAUCUCUGUCUCUCUCUGUGUCUCUCAGGAAUAAAUAAAAUCUUAAUGAUAAACCUGGGAGAGCA
rnacentral:lncRNA from 1 species